rnacentral:rRNA from 1 species
UACGGAGGGAGCGAGCGUUGUUCGGAAUUACUGGGCGUAAAGCGUAUGUAGGCGGCUUCGUAAGACAGGUGUGAAAUCCCAGGGCUUAACCCUGGAACUGCAUUUGUGACUGCGAGGCUGGAGUAUCGGAGAGGUUGGCGGAAUUCCCAGUGUAGAGGUGAAAUUCGCAGAUAUUGGGAGGAACACCGAUGGCGCAAGCAGCCAACUGGACGAUAACUGACGCUGAGAUACGAAAGCGUGGGGAGCAAACAGG